rnacentral:snoRNA from 1 species
AUAAGAAUGUGAGGAGGAAGUUUAUUAGAGUGUCUCUUCAUUGAGGAAGAACAUUGAGGUAUAUUGGAAUCAAAGGCCAAGAUAUCAUUUCGGCUGUCAUUUUCAUAGAUUGAUGAUCUAUGUUGCUCGUCCACAU